UUUAAAUUUAGAGUUUGAUCCUGGCUCAGGACGAACGCUGGCGGCGUGCUUAACACAUGCAAGUCGAGCGAUGAAGCUUCCUUCGGAAAGUGGAUUAGCGGCGGACGGGUGAGUAACACGUGGGUAACCUGCCUCAAAGUGGGGGAUAGCCUUCCGAAAGGAAGAUUAAUACCGCAUAAUAUAAGAGAAUCGCAUGAUUUUUUUAUCAAAGAUUUAUUGCUUUGAGAUGGACCCGCGGCGCAUUAGCUAGUUGGUAAGGUAACGGCUUACCAAGGCAACGAUGCGUAGCCGACCUGAGAGGGUGAUCGGCCACAUUGGAACUGAGACACGGUCCAGACUCCUACGGGAGGCAGCAGUGGGGAAUAUUGCGCAAUGGGGGAAACCCUGACGCAGCAACGCCGCGUGGGUGAUGAAGGUCUUCGGAUUGUAAAGCCCUGUUUUCUGGGACGAUAAUGACGGUACCAGAGGAGGAAGCCACGGCUAACUACGUGCCAGCAGCCGCGGUAAUACGUAGGUGGCGAGCGUUGUCCGGAUUUACUGGGCGUAAAGGGUGCGUAGGCGGAUGUUUAAGUGGGAUGUGAAAUCCCCGG
rnacentral:rRNA from 1 species